rnacentral:rRNA from 1 species
CACGUAGGCGGUGACGUAAGUCGGUUGUGAAAUCCCUCGGCCUAACCGAGGAACUGCGGCCGAUACUGCGUUGCUUGAGGACCAGAGGGGUGGCAUGGAAUUUCCGGUGGAGCGGUGAAAUGCGUUGAUAUCGGAAGGAACUCCGGCGGCGAAAGCGAUGCACUGGCUGGUUACUGACGCUGAGGUGCGAAAGCCAGGGGAGCAAACGGGAUUAGAUACCCCGGUAGUCCUGGCCGUAAACGAUGGGUACUAGGUAGGGGGAUUUCAAACGUCUCUCUGCUGGAGUGAAUAUAUUAAGUACCCCGCCUGGGAAGUACAGUCGCAAGGCUGAA